UUAUUAGUAUAAAAUAAAAGGGUAUAAAAGGAAAAAAGAAAAAAAACAUUUUUAAUUCAUAUUAUUAUCAUUUUAUAACCUUUAUUAGAUAAUAUAAAUUUUUUUUAUUAAUGUCUAAAAAAAAAUAUAUAAAAUGAGCUUGGGUGUUUAUUGACAAUAAGGGUCGUGAUGGAAAUCAAACUGGCUGAUUUUGACCCAGCCCAACCCAAAAUUUAAGAAUUCUAAAA
rnacentral:lncRNA from 1 species